UGGGGAAUAUUGCACAAUGGGGGAAACCCUGAUGCAGCGACGCCGCGUGAGCGAAGAAGGUUUUCGAAUCGUAAAGCUCUGUCCUAUGAGAAGAUAAUGACGGUAUCAUAGGAGGAAGCCCCGGCUAAAUACGUGCCAGCAGCCGCGGUAAUACGUAUGGGGCGAGCGUUGUCCGGAAUUAUUGGGCGUAAAGGGUACGUAGGCGGUCUAUUAAGUCAGGUGUGAAAGCGUGAGGCUUAACCUCAUUAAGCACUUGAAACUGAUAGACUUGAGUGAAGGAGAGGAAAGUGGAAUUCCUAGUGUAGCGGUGAAAUGCGUAGAUAUUAGGAGGAAUACCGGUGGCGAAGGCGACUUUCUGGACUUUUAUUGACGCUCAGGUACGAAAGCGUGGGGAGCAAACAGG
rnacentral:rRNA from 1 species